CCGUUUCGCACCGAGUUUCCUCUUCACAAGGCACCAGCGGCAGCCGCGACUUUUCCCGUGUUAUUUCUGGCAGGCGUUUAGUCCCUCAGGUAUAAGAUUUUCAUGUAACAAGAAUCAGCUUCAUUCCUCCAGAUAUAAAGCAAAGAUGAAAUAGAACUGUCAUGAGGCAACUGGAAAAAUACUGCACACAAAGUAUUAGUUCAUAAAUAAUAGAGUGAAUGUUCUACACUGGCUAGGAUCAAAGGCUACAAGUUCCGUUUCCAGCUCAGCCACAGACUGCUUAACACCACACCUCAACCCUUCUUCUGUUUGCUGUGAGAUACAGUGAGAUUCCUUAUGCUACAUUACAUUUGCUGGUAUAGCUAAGUAUUUAUAAUGAGAUAUGGAGCAUAACUGUACUUAAAAAUCUUGCCAUAAACACUUUUCACGGUUUCAACAACAACAAAAUGCCAUUUGCCUCUAUUAUUACCAGCAGUAUUAAGACAGUCAUACUUUACAAUGUACCACUGUAAAUAAAGACACAAAGAACUCAAGCUGUAAAGUACAACACUGAGGGGAAAAUGCAAGAGAUUCUGUCUUGUCAACAUAUAUAACCUUUUCACUGCCUGUAUGCAAACAUUCAAUGAUCUACAAGUGCUUGGAGCCACCAAAACAGAGUGGUCGAGGUGGGUGGGGAGGAUAACACUCAAACCCACCACUACCACCCUGAAAAUCAAAAAGAAGCACUCAGUUUGAGUUCAGUGUCAUGUUCCUGGCAAAAUGUCUGCUGAAGCACUACAGAGAUUUUUAUGGGCCUAGAGGAGACACUAAAGAAAUACAAACAAAUCAAUGAAUACCAGCAUUGAGAGAUAAACAGUUUCAAAUGCUUCAUAGUACUAGAAUCCCUUUGCAGCCAGAUUCAGUGCCAAGAUGAAGACUUGGAAGGCUUCUGUCAGGCUAUUUCCAAUUACAGUGGUUUAUGAAAACACAGGGGAUACAGUACGCCUUGAUGAGAAAAACCAGUGUGUAUAUAAGCUCAUCAUCCUUGAGCAGAAAGCACUGAGAGAAAAACCAUGAAUGCCACAUUUUUACCUCCAGCCUCAGCAGUUCCACCUGGUUCUCUGCAGUCUAAGUUUAGAGCAGAUCUUUCGACUACAAGCUGUUUGCAAGAUUCUUGCCAUCAUCUUGUGAAUGGAUGACAGUGUAUAAAAUCCAACACUGGACUCAAAAGUAAAACAAUUAUAUGUAGGAGUAUUAACAAAAUUUAUCCAACUUCAUCUUUUUUUUUCUUGUUUGGCAUCUCUACCCCUUUGACAGCGUAGUAUAACAAAACCUGUAGAGCUCUGUCUGUUCAUUUGGGAACACAGCAAAUUUUACUGUGGCAUGUAGAAGUCUUCUAAAAAAAUUCAGUUAUGAAACAGAUGUUCCUUCUUCCUUUACCAGGAGGAACAGCAGGGGAAGAAAAAUCAAAGACUAUUCUGAUCUUCAUACUCUGACCUAUGUCUACAAUUUGUUGCUAGCCACAGCUUUUAGAAAAUUCACACUUACAAACCACCAGUAAACAUGGUACAAAAUAAAGGCAAUAUGAAGAACAUUCAAGGA